AGCACACAGUAGGUGCAUAAAACUUGCUGAUUCCACCAUAACGGUGGCUGUUGCAUGGGGAACCUUCUGUGUUCCUUCUCCCUGCCUCUGCACCGCCCCUCACAGGGUCCCACACUCCCAGCUUGCAGGGUGCCAAGGCCAAUGCUAUCGGGUGGGACUGACAGUGCUGCCCGGCUGGAGCGCAGCACUUUUCUGCAGUACCAGAGGGAGCCUGGCCCUGUGCCCACAUUCCUGCCCGCCUCCCCCUGAAUAGCUCUCACCAGGGAGGGCUCGGCAGCUGCUGUCCUGGAUGCUGGUGACAAAAUCCCCUCCCAUCCCCCCUGAAAGUGACAUGGCCACCACCCAGGCAGACCCUGCCUUUGGGCUGAGCAUGGUCACACCCUGUCGGCUGCUUCCUUCCCCCACCCCAGUUUGGAUCCCCAAGAGUCCUCUGUGGCUGGCUCCAGUGGCGUGAUAUCAGUGCCAGGGCCACACCCAGGCCCGUCCCGUCAGAACAAUAUUAUCUGUCCUAGCUGCUCUGUGCUGAGCGCCUUCUCCAAGCUGGCACUGCGCGCUGGGGUUUCCUUACGAGACCUCCACGGAGCCCGUGCAACACCCCUGUUUAGCAGGUGGGGAGACGGAGGCUCAGAGAUGCAAACCAACUGGCCCCAGCCAGGGUGCAGCCGAGAUCCCAGCCUGCCUGACCGGAAACACGCCACCUCUGCACCCCGCAACCGAGCUCAGGUUUCACCAGCUCCCCGCUGCUGCUGCUGCUGUGGGUCCAUGGACCAAGACAUACAGAUCAACUCCUCUGGGAGCAGGUGUACCUGGCGGCUCACUCAACACAGAGGCAGGAGGCGGGGGCUGGGUGCGGGGAGC